rnacentral:rRNA from 1 species
GAUGAACGCUGGCGGCGUGCCUAAUACAUGCAAGUCGAGCGAACAGACGAGGAGCUUGCUCCUCUGACGUUAGCGGCGGACGGGUGAGUAACACGUGGAUAACCUACCUAUAAGACUGGGAUAACUUCGGGAAACCGGAGCUACUACCGGAUAAUAUAUUGAACCGCAUGGUUCAAUAGUGAAAGACGGUUUUGCUGUCACUUAUAGAUGGAUCCGCGCCGCAUUAGCUAGUUGGUAAGGUAACGGCUUACCAAGGCAACGAUGCGUAGCCGACCUGAGAGGGUGAUCAGCCACACUGGAACUGAGACACGGUCCAGACUCCUACGGGAGGCAGCAGUAGGGAAUCUUCCGCAAUGGGCGAAAGCCUGGCGGAGCAACGCCGCGUGAGUGAUGAAGGUCUUCGGAUCGUAAAACUCUGUUAUUAGGGAAGAACAAAUGUGUAAGUAACUAUGCACGUCUUGACGGUACCUAAUCAGAAAGCCACGGCUAACUACGUG